rnacentral:rRNA from 1 species
UCCGUAGGUGAACCUGCGGAAGGAUCAUUACCGAGUCUUUGAAGUGGGUUUGAUGCUGGCCUUCCGAGGCAUGUGCUCGCUCCGCUCUCAAUAUCCCACUCAACACCUGUGCACCCUACUGUUUUCGAAGGUCGCGGUCCUCCCGUCAAAGGGAGCAGCUUGGGUAACCAAGCCGGGGCCGCUGCUUUCGUUGACAUGUAACAAUACAAACCCUUAAAGUAACUCAGAAUGUGUAAACCGGCCUACGGGCUUUUAAUAAAUACAACUUUCAACAACGGAUCUCUUGGCUCUCGCAUCGAUGAAGAACGCAGCGAAAUGCGAUAAGUAAUGUGAAUUGCAGAAUUCAGUGAAUCAUCGAAUCUUUGAACGCACCUUGCGCUCCUUGGUAUUCCGAGGAGCAUGCCUGUUUGAGUGUCAUGAAAUCAUCAACCCCGUCGGCAUUUUUGAUGUCGUGCGGAGGCUUGGAAUUGGGGGUUCUGCUGGCUCCGGUCGGCUCCCCUUGAAUGCAUUAGCUCGGCUUUCCUGGCGGACUUCACUGUGUGAUAAUUAUCUACGCUUUGAACGCUCUGUAGGGAGCUUUUGGGUCGAGCUUACAAUCGUCUUAGGACAAUUACCUUUCAUUUUGACCUCAAAUCAGGUAGGACUACCCGCUGAACUUAAGCAUAUCAAUAAGCGGAGGA